GACGAACCGAGCGAACGUUGUUCGGAUUCAUUGGGCGUAAAGGGUGCGUAGGCGGCGCGGUAAGUCGGGUGUGAAAUCUCGGAGCUUAACUCCGAAACUGCAUUCGAUACUGCCGUGCUUGAGGACUGGAGAGGAGACUGGAAUUUACGGUGUAGUGGUGAAAUGCGUAGAUAUCGUAAGGAAGACCAGUGGCGAAGGCGGGUCUCUGGACCGAGACUGACGCUGAGGCGCGAAAGCGUGGGGAGCAAACAGG
rnacentral:rRNA from 1 species